rnacentral:rRNA from 1 species
AGUGAACGCUGGCGGUAGGCCUAACACAUGCAAGUCGAACGGCAGCACAGGAGAGCUUGCUCUCUGGGUGGCGAGUGGCGGACGGGUGAGGAAUGCAUCGGAAUCUACUCUUUCGUGGGGGAUAACGUAGGGAAACUUACGCUAAUACCGCAUACGACCUACGGGUGAAAGCCGGGGACCUUCGGGCCUGGCGCGAAAGAAUGAGCCGAUGCCCGAUUAGCUAGUUGGCGGGGUAAGAGCCCACCAAGGCGACGAUCGGUAGCUGGUCUGAGAGGAUGAUCAGCCACACUGGAACUGAGACACGGUCCAGACUCCUACGGGAGGCAGCAGUGGGGAAUAUUGGACAAUGGGCGCAAGCCUGAUCCAGCCAUACCGCGUGGGUGAAGAAGGCCUUCGGGUUGUAAAGCCCUUUUGUUGGGAAAGAAAAGCAGUCGGUUAAUACCCGAUUGUUCUGACGGUACCCAAGAAUAAGCACCGUAAUU